ACUUGAAAUGCGGCUGGCUGAGAAAGAGGAGCUCAAGAUCACUCACCUUUGCUGCCAACACCCUAUGUAUGUGCACAGCAUUUAUCCACUUUCUAAAGGUGUCUAUUUAGCUGUGGUCAAAAGUACUUCACAGGAUUCAGUCCAGAUCAGUCACUCAGUCGUGUCUGACUCCUUGCGACCCCAUGGACUGCAGCACGCCAGGCUUCCCCAUCCAUCACGAACUCCAGGAGUUUACUCAAACUCAUGCCCAUCGAGUUGGUGAUGCCAUCCAACCAUGUCAUCCUCUGCCGUUCCCCUUCUCUUCCUGCCCUCAAUCUUUCCCAGCAACAAGGUCUUUUCCAACAAAUCAGU
ensembl:lncRNA